rnacentral:rRNA from 1 species
CCAGUCGAAGAUACCAGCUGGCUGCAACUGUUUAUUAAAAACACAGCACUGUGCAAACACGAAAGUGGACGUAUACGGUGUGACGCCUGCCCGGUGCUGGAAGGUUAAUUGAUGGGGUUAGCGCAAGCGAAGCUCCUGAUCGAAGCCCCAGUAAACGGCGGCCGUAACUAUAACGGUCCUAAGGUAGCGAAAUUCCUUGUCGGGUAAGUUCCGACCUGCACGAAUGGCGUAAUGAUGGCCAGGCUGUCUCCACCCGAGACUCAGUGAAAUUGAACUCGCUGUGAAGAUGCAGUGUACCCGCGGCAAGACGGAAAGACCCCGUGAACCUUUACUAUAGCUUGACACUGAACAUUGAGCCUUGAUGUGUAGGAUAGGUGGGAGGCUUUGAAGUGUGGACGCCAGUCUGCAUGGAGCCAACCUUGAAAUACCACCCUUUAACGUUUGAUGUUCUAACCUAGGCCCAUAAACUGGGUCGGGGACCGUGUCUGGUGGGUAGUUUGACUGGGGCGGUCUCCUCCUAAAGAGUAACGGAGGAGCACGAAGGUUGGCUAAGCAUGGUCGGACAUCAUGCGGUUAGUGCAAAGGCAUAAGCCAGCUUGACUGCGAGAGUGACGGCUCGAGCAGGUACGAAAGUAGGUCUUAGUGAUCCGGUGGUUCUGAAUGGAAGGGCCAUCGCUCAACGGAUAAAAGGUACUCCGGGGAUAACAGGCUGAUACCGCCCAAGAGUUCAUAUCGACGGCGGUGUUUGGCACCUCGAUGUCGGCUCAUCACAUCCUGGGGCUGAAGUAGGUCCCAAGGGUAUGGCUGUUCGCCAUUUAAAGUGGUACGCGAGCUGGGUUUAGAACGUCGUGAGACAGUUCGGUCCCUAUCUGCCGUGGGCGUUGGAAGAUUGAGAGGGGUUGCUCCUAGUACGAGAGGACCGGAGUGAACGCACCACUGGUGUUCGGGUUGUCAUGCCAAUGGCAUUGCCCGGUAGCUAAGUGCGGAAGAGAUAACCGCUGAAAGCAUCUAAGCGGGAAACUUGCCUCGAGAUGAGUCUUCCCUGUCGCUUUAAGCGACCUAAAGGAACGUUUAAGACUAAGACGUUGAUAGGCUGGGUGUGUAAGCGUAGCGAUACGUUGAGCUAACCAGUACUAAUGAACCGUGAGGCUUAACCUGACAACACCGAAAGUGUUUUG